rnacentral:rRNA from 1 species
GACGAACGCUGGCGGCGUGCCUAAUACAUGCAAGUAGAACGCUGAAGGAGGAGCUUGCUUCUCUGGAUGAGUUGCGAACGGGUGAGUAACGCGUAGGUAACCUGCCUGUUAGCGGGGGAUAACUAUUUGAAACGAUAUCUAAUACCGCAUAAUAGCAGUUGUUUCAUGACAACUGUUUGAAAGGUGCAAUUGCACCACUACCAGAUGGCCCUGCGUUGUAUUAGCUAGUUGGGGGGGUAACGGCUCACCAAGGCGACGAUACAUAGCCGACCUGAGAGGGUCAAUCGACAGACUGUGAGUGAGAAACGUCAGAGACACCGAGGGGAGGACGCAGUAGGGAAUCUUAGGGAAAGGAGCGGAGGGUGACAGAGCAAAGCCGCGUGAGUGAAGAAGGAGUUCGGAUCGUAAAGUGAUGAUGUAAGAGAAGAAGGAAUGUGAGAGUGCAAAGGACAAAAAGGGAAGGUACGUUAGAAGAAAGGGACGGUUAACCAGUU